rnacentral:misc_RNA from 1 species
AUCAUCCAAAAUUUAGAACAUAGCAAAAACAACAUGUAAAAUAAACAAUCCAAGUAAAUAUGGUCAUAGGGAAAUUUUGUUAUGCCAAUUAGCAAAUAAAAAUUAAGGCACAUCGCUCUCAGAAAAUGAAGAAACAUUAAAAGAAAGAAAAUACAUUCACAUUUCUGUAAUCUUUUCAAUAUAAAAAUUAUGCAGAUGAUACCUGAACUCGAGCAGUGCUA